rnacentral:rRNA from 1 species
GAUGAACGCUGGCGGAAUGCUUUACACAUGCAAGUCGAACGGUAGAGGGGCAACCCUUGAGAGUGGCGAACGGGUGAGUAAUGUAUCGGAACAUGCCCAGUCGUGGGGGAUAACGUAGCGAAAGUUACGCCAAUACCGCAUACGAUCUAUGGAUGAAAGCGGGGGACUCGCAAGAGCCUCGCGCGAUUGGAGUGGCCGAUAUCAGAUUAGGUAGUUGGUAGGGUAAAAGCCUACCAAGCCGACGAUCUGUAGCUGGUCUGAGAGGACGACCAGCCACACUGGGACUGAGACACGGCCCAGACUCCUACGGGAGGCAGCAGUGGGGAAUUUUGGACAAUGGGCGCAAGCCUGAUCCAGCCAUUCCGCGUGCAGGAAGAAGGCCUUCGGGUUGUAAACUGCUUUUGUACGGAACGAAACGCGCUAGGUUAAUACCCUGGCGUAAUGACGGUACCGUAAGAAUAAGCACCGGCUAACUACGUGCCAGCCGCCGCCGUAACAC